rnacentral:sRNA from 1 species
GAGAUUGUCAACAGAGAGCAGGUGAUGGUUGGAGGAUAUGAAUUUAUAUGGGAACAUUUAUGGGGAAAAUUAUUAUCUACUUAAUGAAUUGAAGUGAUAGAAGAAGAGAGAAAUACGGAGUUUUCUACUUAGUAAGCAUGAAAUACCACCAUAACCCACUUCUCUUUCUAAUGAGCAGGUUCGGAGAGUACCAGGUUCCAGUGGCCGUCUUCAUAAGACAGAGGAUGGAGGCUGGGAGUGGAGUGAUGAUGAAUUUGAUGAAGAAAGCGAGGAAGGGAAGGCAGCAAUUUCACAACUCAGGUCUCCCCGAGUGAAAGAAUCAAUAUCAAAUUCUGAGCUCUUUCCAACAACUGAUCCUGUGGGCACUUUGCUCCAAGUUCCAGAACAGAUCUCUGCUCAUCUACCUCAGCCAGCUGGUCAGAUGCCUACACAGCCAACUCAAGUCUCUCUCCCACCCACUGCAGAGCCAGCAAAAACAGCUCAGGCUUUGUCUUCAGGAUCAGGUUCACAAGAAACCAAGAUCCCAAUCAGUCUAGUACUAAGAUUAAGGAAUUCCAAAAAAGAACUAAAUGAUAUUCGAUUUGAAUUUACUCCUGGGAGAGAUACAGCAGA